GACGAACGCUGGCGGCGCGCUUAACACAUGCAAGUCGAACGGAAAGGCCUGCUUUCCCUUGUGGAUUGCGGGUACUCGCGUGGCGAACGGGUGAGUAACACGUGAGUGAUCUGCCCCCAACUUGGGUAUAAGCCUGGGAAACUGGGUCUAAUUCCCGAUAGGACUGCAGGGUGGUGCCUGUGGUGGAAAACGAUUUUCUAGUGGUUGGGGAUGAGCUCGCGGCCUAUCAGCUUGUUGGUGGGGUAAUGGCCUACCAAGGCGGGGACGGGUAGCCGGCCUGGGGGGGUGGACGGGCACAUUUGGACUGGGAUACGGCCCCGAAUCCGACGGGAGGCAGCCGUGGGGAAGAAGGGACAAUGGGCGGGAGCCUGAUGGAGGGACGCCGCGUGGGGGAUGACGGCCUUCGGGUUGUAAACUCCUUUCGACCGCGAGGAAGCCACCUGGUUGGAAGGGUGGUGACGGUAGUGGUAGAAGAAGCACCGGCUAACUACGUG
rnacentral:rRNA from 1 species